rnacentral:rRNA from 1 species
AAUGAACGUUGGCGGCGUGGAUUAGGCAUGCAAGUCGUGCGGAAAGGCUCCUUCGGGAGUACUCGAGCGGCGUAAGGGAGAGUAACGCGUGGAUAUCUACCCCCUGGACUGGGAUAGCGGCGGGAAACUGCCGGUAAUACCAGAUAAUGUCUGCGGACCAAAGGUGUGAUUCCGCCGGGGGAUGAGUUCGCGUCCUAUUAGCUAGUUGGUAGGGUAAUGGCCUACCAAGGCAAAGAUGGGUACCGGGUGUGAGAGCAUGGCCCGGCUCACUGGGACUGAGACCCUGCCCAGACACCUACGGGUGGCUGCAGUCGAGAAUCUUCGGCAAUGGGCGCAAGCCUGACCGAGCGACGCCGCGUGCGGGAUGAAGGCCUUCGGGUUGUAAACCGCUGUCAGAGGGGAGGAAAUGCGUGAGAGUUCUCUCUCACGUUUGACCUAUCCUCAGAGGAAGUACGGGCUAAGUUCGUACCAGCAGCCGCGGUAAGAC